rnacentral:rRNA from 2 species
GGCAGGCCUAACACAUGCAAGUCGAACGCUGUAGCAAUACAGAGUGGCAGACGGGUGAGUAACGCGUGGGAACAUGCCCUUCGGUUCGGAAUAACUCAGGGAAACUUGAGCUAAUACCGGAUACGCCCUUAGGGGGAAAGAUUUAUUGCCGAAGGAUUGGCCCGCGUCCGAUUAGCUAGUUGGUGAGGUAAUGGCUCACCAAGGCGACGAUCGGUAGCUGGUCUGAGAGGAUGAUCAGCCACACUGGGACUGAGACACGGCCCAGACUCCUACGGGAGGCAGCAGUGGGGAAUAUUGGACAAUGGGCGCAAGCCUGAUCCAGCCAUGCCGCGUGAGUGAUGAAGGCCCUAGGGUUGUAAAGCUCUUUCGCCAGGGACGAUAAUGACGGUACCUGGAUAAGAAGCCCCGGCUAACUUCGUGCCAGCAGCCGCGGUAAUACGAAGGGGGCUAGCGUUGUUCGGAAUCACUGGGCGUAAAGCGCACGUAGGCGGAUCUUUAAGUCAGGGGUGAAAUCCCGAGGCUCAACCUCGGAACUGCCUUUGGUACUGGAGGUCUCGAGUCCGGGAGAGGUGAGUGGAACUGCGAGUGUAGAGGUGAAAUUCGUAGAUAUUCGCAAGAACACCAGUGGCGAAGGCGGCUCACUGGCCCGGAACUGACGCUGAGGUGCGAA